UACGUAGGGUGCAAGCGUUAAUCGGAAUUACUGGGAGUAAAGCGUGCGCAGGCGGUCUUGUAAGUCUGACGUGAAAUCCCCGGGCUCAACCUGGGAAUUGCGUUGGAGACUGCAAGGCUAGAAUCUGGCAGAGGGGGGUAGAAUUCCACGUGUAGCAGUGAAAUGCGUAGAGAUGUGGAGGAACACCGAUGGCGAAGGCAGCCCCCUGGGUCAAGAUUGACGCUCAUGCACGAAAGCGUGGGGAGCAAACAGG
rnacentral:rRNA from 1 species